UGGAAGUAAAAGUGGUAACAAGGUUUCACCUGCGGAAGCCUUUGCAACCCCCUCCGGGGAGCGCCCACGACAGUAAACAAUGGGUUGCGCUUGCAAGUCUAGGGAGGUACCUCCCGGGCGACACAACUAAAUUAUCGGGAAUGUCCAGGCUUUGGAUAAUCCGUAGCACUCUCGCAGUGUUCACAGGUCAAAUGGUUGUGGGUUCAGCUUGCUGGGCUUAAGAUAUGAUCGGGCUUUACGAGAGAUUGUAGAGAUCACACCGUUCCGUAGGUGAACCUGCGGAAGGAUCAUUA
rnacentral:rRNA from 1 species